GAUGAACGCUGGCGGCGUGCCUAAUACAUGCAAGUCGAGCGAACAGACGAGGAGCUUGCUCCUCUGACGUUAGCGGCGGACGGGUGAGUAACACGUGGAUAACCUACCUAUAAGACUGGGAUAACUUCGGGAAACCGGAGCUAAUACCGGAUAAUAUAUUGAACCGCAUGGUUCAAUAGUUAAAGACGGUUUUGCUGUCACUUAUAGAUUGAUCCGCGCCGCAUUAGCUAGUUGGUAAGGUAACGGCUUACCAAGGCGACGAUGCGUAGCCGACCUGAGAGGGUGAUCGGCCACACUGGAACUGAGACACGGUCCAGACUCCUACGGGAGGCAGCAGUAGGGAAUCUUCCGCAAUGGGCGAAAGCCUGACGGAGCAACGCCGCGUGAGUGAUGAAGGUCUUCGGAUCGUAAAACUCUGUUAUUAGGGAAGAACAAAUGUGUAAGUAACUAUGCACGUCUUGACGGUACCUAAUCAGAAAGCCACGGCUAACUACGUG
rnacentral:rRNA from 1 species